AUUGAACGCUGGCGGCAUGCUUUACACAUGCAAGUCGAACGGCAGCGCGGGCUUCGGCCUGGCGGCGAGUGGCGAACGGGUGAGUAAUGCAUUGGAACGUGCCCAGUAGUGGGGGAUAGCCCGGCGAAAGCCGGAUUAAUACCGCAUACGACCUGAGGGUGAAAGCGGGGGACCGAAAGGCCUCGCGCUAUUGGAGCGGCCGAUGUUGGAUUAGCUAGUUGGUGGGGUAAAGGCUUACCAAGGCGACGAUCCGUAGCUGGUCUGAGAGGACGACCAGCCACACUGGGACUGAGACACGGCCCAGACUCCUACGGGAGGCAGCGGUGGGGAAUUUUGGACAAUGGGGGCAACCCUGAUCCAGCCAUGCCGCGUGCGGGAAGAAAGCCUUCGGGUUGUAAGCCGCCUUUGUUCGGGAAGAAAUCCUCUGGGCUAAUACCCCGGGGGGAUGACGGUACCGGAAGAAUAAGCACCGGCUAACUACGUG
rnacentral:rRNA from 1 species